CGGCCGGGCGCGGUGGCUCACGCCUGUAAUCCCAGCACUUUGGGAGGCUGAGGCGGGCGGAGCACGAGGUCAGGAGAUCGAGACCAUCCUGGCUAACAUGGUGAAACCCCGUCUCUACUAAAAAUACAAAAAAUUAGCCGGGGGUGGUGGCGGGCGCCUGUAAUCCCAGCUACUCAGGAGGCCGAGGCGGGAGAAUGGCGUGAACCCGGGAGGCGGAGCUUGCAGUGAGCCGAGAUCGCGCCACUGCACUCCAGCCUGGGUGACAGAGCGAGACUCCCCGAAAGGAGAGAAGCUGUGGGGUGGGGCGGACACAAGCAGUGGUGGGGAACUGGGGCCCAGGGAAAGGGGAGGCAUGUGAGGAGGAACCCGAGUGCAGAUGAGGGGAGCUGCGGAGAGGGGCCUCGGACCUUCCUGUCGAGGAAGGCCCAGUCUUUGGUGGUCUCGGCAAAAUGAAGAAUGGGCCCCAAGUGGAGAGCAGCAAGUCCCCAAAACUCAUUUCUAUCACCCCUGUUUGUUUUACACUCCACCAGGCAAAUCUUCCGUCCACAGGGUUCUUUUUAAUACUUCUCUUUAAGCAGUGUGGUGGGGAGGCCAUGGCAAUCAUUAGCUCUGGAGGCCUGAGGAGGACACUCUGAAGAGGAAAGCACCGCGAUCAUCCGGUUUCACCCCUGUUUUCAUCUACUCUUUUCCUCAGCGAAGCCUAUAUGGGUUCCCUAUGUCACAUCGCAGCUACCGCAUUGGAGGGUUAAGAGCCGCUGACAAAUCUCUUUCGGGAAGGGGUAAGAAGCGCAGCUGGCCCAGAGCCAUGGAGAGAGACGCAAGAGCAGAACCGAAAAUACUUUUCUCCAUCUUGUUUUCUCUCUGCUGUCGGUGAACAUUAACCUUCCACACACACCGGGUCAAUACUGCCUUGGUCUCUACAGGAGGUUUACCAUUUUUUACAGUUCCCGUAAGCCACGUUUUCUUCUCGCUUCUACAGUUCUUCCAGGAUUGAGUUUCAGGAGCUGGUCAGCAGUCCAGGCUAGUUCAACAUCCUGGUUCAAAAUCGUUUGUCUGGUUUUGCUACUAGGGUGAAGCUUGCCUCCUAGACCAGAGUUAAGACGUGUUCCCUCGGCUUCUGUUUUCUAGAGAGAAUUGAUAUAGUUUCUUCCUUAAGUGUUUGGUUGUGAAACCAUCUAGACCUGGCGCUUUGUUCUGGAAGGUUAUUAAUUGUUGCUUCAAUUUCGUUAAUAGAUAGAGACCUAUUUAGUGUAUCUAUUUCUCCUUGUAGAGUUUUGGUCAACUUUAUCUUUCAAGUACUUGAUCCAAUUCAUCGAAGUUAUCAAAUUUGUGAGCAGAGAAUUGUGCAUAAUAGUCCUCUACUAUCCUUUUAAUGUCCACAAGAUCAGAAGUGAGGGUCAUUGUUUUCUUUCUCAUAUUAGUAAUUUGUAUCUUUUCUCAUUGUUUCUUGGUUCACCAGCUAAAGGUUUAUCAAUUUUAUCGGUCCUUUCAAAGAACACUCUUCAGGUUUUUUUGACUUUUUUCUAUUGAUUUCUGGUUUUCAAUUUCCUUGAUUUCUGCUCUAGUGUUUAUUGUUUCUUGUCUUCCACUCACUUUGGACUUAAUUUGCUCUUGUUUUCUUUGAGUUUCCUAAAGUGUAAGUUUGGAUUAUUGAUUUUAGAUCUUUAUUUGUAAUAUUUAAUUUUUAAAAUCCAUGAUUAUUUUACUUUCUGUGCAGUAAUUUUUUUAGUGUACUAUAAUUUUGUUCUUGUUAAAAUCUCAGUUUUUUGUUGUGUACCAAGGGUACAAGUGUAGCAUUGUUACAUGGGUAUAUUGGGUCCAGGUAGUUCGCAUAGUACCCAAUAGCUAGUUUUUCAACCCACUCUCCCUCCCUCCCUCCCUACCUCAUGGUAGUCCACAGUGUCUAUAGUUCUCAAGUUUAUGUCCGUGUGAGCUCAAUAUUUAGGUCCCAUUCCUAAGUGAGAACAUUCAGUAUUUCAUUUUCUGUUUCCGCAUUAGUUUCUUCCAGAUUAUGGCCUCCUGUUCUAUCCAUGUUAUUGCAAAAGACAUGAUUUCAUUCUUUUUUAUGGGUGUGCAGUAUUCCAUGUUGUGUAUGUACCACAUUUUCUUUAUUUAAUCCACCAUUGAUGGGCACCUAGUUUGAUUCCAUGUCUUUGCUAUUGUGAAUAGCCUGGUGGUGAUCAUAGGAGCGCAUGUGUCUUUUUGUUUUAAUGAUUUACAUUCCUUUGGGUAUAUACCCAGUAAUGAGAUUACUGGUUGAAUAGCAGCUCUGUUGUAGGUUCUUUGAGAAAUCUCCAAAUUGCUUUCCACAGAGACUGAACUAAUUUACAUUCACUCCAAGUGUUUAUAUGCUUUCUCUCCACAGCCUUAUCAGCAUCUGUUGGUUUUUGACUUUUUAAUAAUGGCCAUUCUGAGUGGUGUGAGAUGGUAUCUCAUUGUAGCUUUGAUUUGCAUUUCUCUGAUUAUUAGUGAUGAUGAGCAUUUAUUCCUGUGUUUGCUGGCUGCUUGUAUGUCUUCUUUUAAGAAGUGCCUGUUCAUGUCACCUUGCCCACUUUGUAAUGGGAUUAUUUUUUUUCUUGUCGAUUUUUUAAAGUUCCUAAUAGGUUUUGGACAUUAGACCUUUGUCAGAUUCACAGUUUGUGAACAUUUUCUCCCAUUCUGUAGGUGGUCUGUUGACCCUGUUGAUGGUUUCUUUUACUGUGCAGAAGCUCUCUCAUUGAAUUAGGUCCUACUUGUGAAUUUUUGUUUUUGCUACAGUUGCUUUUGUGGACUUGGCCAUAAAUUCUUUGCCAUGGCUGAUGUUGAGAAUGAUAUUUCCUAGGUUUUCUUCUACACCUUUUCUGCUUUGAGGUCCCAGUAUAUAUUGUGUCAUUGCAAAUGACAACCAACCACAGACUAAUCAUUACAAGCCAAGAAAGGGAACUUAUUGGUGACCAGGAAAAAUGUCCAACAAAUGAAAAUUAGUAAAAGACAUUCCUGGGUGUCUUUUUCUGUAAAGUGUGGGGCAUUGUUGUCUGUAGAGUUCAGCAAACUUUUUCUGUAAAGGGCCAGGGAGAUAGGAAGUAUUCUAGGCUUGUGAGCCAAGAGGCAAAAUUAAGGAUAUUAUGUAGGUGCACAUAUAACCAGGAAGAAAGCAAAUUUCUAUACCAUUUUCAUUGAUGAGAUUCUAAACUAACAAUAGUAACUGAGUAGAACUUCUCAGGUGGUAAAUGUUCUUUGCAUUGAGAGCCUAGGCUCAACUUUCCUAGGCUCCCUGGUACAGCCCUCCCUUUCCACCCCUCAGGCUGUUUCCCUCCCUGUUUUCCUCAGAAGAAGAGUUCCAAACAAAAGAUCUACUACCCUGAGAAGCGGUGAAGUGCUCCUGCGGCCCACCAAGGCCACACAAGUCAAGGAGUGGAUGGCCUUGCCCCAGCUAUGGCUCAGAUCACCUUUGCAGGAUGACAUCUUGUUGGGAGAUGGUCAUCAGAGACAGGGCCAUGGAAGACGCUGUCAGGAGGAGGCACAGAGGAAAGGCUAUGGGAGCACAAAGCAAGAAAGUGGCCUUCUGCAAGCCAGGAAGAGAGGCCUCCCCAGAAACCAACUCUACCAGCACAUCGAUCUUGGACUUUUGGCCUCUAGAACAUUGAGAAAAUAAAAGUCUGCUGUUAAACCACCCAACCUUUGGUAUCUUUCUAUGGCAGCCUGAGCUGACUAACACCCUUGGACACAGGUGGAGGAACUGGUAAUCUUCUCAGGGCUUUGCCUGAAAUGGUGUUGUGAAAUGUUCCAGCAAAGCCCAUUUAGGAGAGCCUAUAUGGACAAGGAUUCUUGCUGCACUUUGUGUGGGUAAUCAGGCCAAGUAUAUGGGACUGAAGCUUCUUUUGCAGGUAGGUUGGUCCUGCUGUGUUUUGUCUUUAGUGGAAAUGGGGAACUGGAGAGAGGAAGAUUGUGUUUCAGGAGAAACUACGGUAUUAGAUGAAUGUUUGAUUCCUGGGUGGCCAUGCGGUCACCCAUGGUGUGGAGCUGCUCAGGAUGCCCCUUCUCCUCAUGACAAAGCCAGAAAGAUGCAUGACCAGAUUCCCCAUGAUUGAGGAACUGACAAAUAGAAAGUGGGGACUGAAAUCGACCCAAUAGUCCCACAUACAGUGUUUUUGGAUAGACUUAAAAAUGGACCUUUCUGGUCUUAAAGCUUGAAACUUACAUUUGUUUUAUCUGAGUUCCUUCCUCAGGAAAGGACCCUCAGCCUCUCAAAAAGCAUCAUAGACCUGAAACUCAGCAGAUCACAGCAUCCAGACAAUGACUUGCCAGUCCCUUCACUCAUCAUGAGUGCUUCCUCACCCUUCCCUAGUUCCUCUUUUCCCACACACAGUUACGUUUCUUCCCUGCUGUAUAAACCCCUCGUUUUAGUUGAUCAGGGAGAUUGAUUUGAGACUGAUCUCCCAUCUCCUCAUCUGCAGCACCCAAUUAAAGCCUUCUUCCUCGGCAAUACUCAAUGUCUCAAUGAUUGGCUUUCUGUGAGCUGAGCAGCAGGGCCUAGAUGGAACUCCUGGGCUUUCAGUAACGAUACAUGUACACUUUUAAA